rnacentral:rRNA from 1 species
GCAAACUGCGAAUACCGGAGAAUGUUAUCACGGGAGACACACGGCGGGUGCUAACGUCCGUCGUGAAGAGGGAAACAACCCAGACCGCCAGCUAAGGUCCCAAAGUCAUGGUUAAGUGGGAAACGAUGUGGGAAGGCCCAGACAGCCAGGAUGUUGGCUUAGAAGCAGCCAUCAUUUAAAGAAAGCGUAAUAGCUCACUGGUCGAGUCGGCCUGCGCGGAAGAUGUAACGGGGCUAAACCAUGCACCGAAGCUGCGGCAGCGACGCUUAUGCGUUGUUGGGUAGGGGAGCGUUCUGUAAGCCUGUGAAGGUGUACUGUGAGGUAUGCUGGAGGUAUCAGAAGUGCGAAUGCUGACAUAAGUAACGAUAAAGCGGGUGAAAAGCCCGCUCGCCGGAAGACCAAGGGUUCCUGUCCAACGUUAAUCGGGGCAGGGUGAGUCGACCCCUAAGGCGAGGCCGAAAGGCGUAGUCGAUGGGAAACAGGUUAAUAUUCCUGUACUUGGUGUUACUGCGAAGGGGGGACGGAGAAGGCUAUGUUGGCCGGGCGACGGUUGUCCCGGUUUAAGCGUGUAGGCUGGUUUUCCAGGCAAAUCCGGAAAAUCAAGGCUGAGGCGUGAUGACGAGGCACUACGGUGCUGAAGCAACAAAUGCCCUGCUUCCAGGAAAAGCCUCUAAGCAUCAGGUAACAUCAAAUCGUACCCCAAACCGACACAGGUGGUCAGGUAGAGAAUACCAAGGCGCUUGAGAGAACUCGGGUGAAGGAACUAGGCAAAAUGGUGCCGUAACUUCGGGAGAAGGCACGCUGAUAUGUAGGUGAAGCGACUUGCUCGUGGAGCUGAAAUCAGUCGAAGAUACCAGCUGGCUGCAACUGUUUAUUAAAAACACAGCACUGUGCAAACACGAAAGUGGACGUAUACGGUGUGACGCCUGCCCGGUGCCGGAAGGUUAAUUGAUGGGGUUAGCGGUAACGCGAAGCUCUUGAUCGAAGCCCCGGUAAACGGCGGCCGUAACUAUAACGGUCCUAAGGUAGCGAAAUUCCUUGUCGGGUAAGUUCCGACCUGCACGAAUGGCGUAAUGAUGGCCAGGCUGUCUCCACCCGAGACUCAGUGAAAUUGAACUCGCUGUGAAGAUGCAGUGUACCCGCGGCAAGACGGAAAGACCCCGUGAACCUUUACUAUAGCUUGACACUGAACAUUGAGCCUUGAUGUGUAGGAUAGGUGGGAGGCUUUGAAGUGUGGACGCCAGUCUGCAUGGAGCCGGCCUUGAAAUACCACCCUUUAAUGUUUGAUGUUCUAACGUUGGCCCCUGAUCGGGGUUGCGGACAGUGUCUGGUGGGUAGUUUGACUGGGGCGGUCUCCUCCUAAAGAGUAACGGAGGAGCACGAAGGUUGGCUAAUCCUGGUCGGACAUCAGGAGGUUAGUGCAAUGGCAUAAGCCAGCUUGACUGCGAGCGUGACGGCGCGAGCAGGUGCGAAAGCAGGUCAUAGUGAUCCGGUGGUUCUGAAUGGAAGGGCCAUCGCUCAACGGAUAAAAGGUACUCCGGGGAUAACAGGCUGAUACCGCCCAAGAGUUCAUAUCGACGGCGGUGUUUGGCACCUCGAUGUCGGCUCAUCACAUCCUGGGGCUGAAGUAGGUCCCAAGGGUAUGGCUGUUCGCCAUUUAAAGUGGUACGCGAGCUGGGUUUAGAACGUCGUGAGACAGUUCGGUCCCUAUCUGCCGUGGGCGCUGGAGAACUGAGGGGGGCUGCUCCUAGUACGAGAGGACCGGAGUGGACGCAUCACUGGUGUUCGGGUUGUCAUGCCAAUGGCACUGCCCGGUAGCUAAAUGCGGAAGAGAUAAGUGCUGAAAGCAUCUAAGCACGAAACUUGCCCCGAGAUGAGUUCUCCCUGAGACUUAGAGUCUCCUGAAGGAACGUUGAAGACGACGACGUUGAUAGGCCGGGUGUGUAAGCGCAGCGAUGCGUUGAGCUAACCGGUACUAAUGAACCGUGAGGCUUAACCUUACAACGCCGAAG